UGCAGUGAUACAUUUAAAAUCCAUUGUUUUCAUAGCAGUCUAGUUCCAUUGCAAUUACAGCUGGAAACGGGCCUUAAAAGUUAGGCCUGACACGGCCCAAGCCCGACAAAAUUCGUCCUGAACCCAACAAGUACAUUUUGACAGCUUUUUAAAGCCCAAACCCGCUUACAGCCCGGAAUUAUUCAAAUAUGCACAGACACACAACUCCUCAUUUUGUGUCAGGGGUAUACAUUUUAACAUUACUCAUUCAUUUUUAACACCUAAACACUUUUACCAUAACAAGUUAAAACAAAAACUGAUGUUGGAGUUUUUCCUUGCCCCUAUUGCUCAUUGGUGCUCUUUGUUGUUAAGCGCUCUGAGACCUGCCUUUUGUAAAAUCCGCUAAACAAAUAAAAUGUAAUUGAAUUAAACAAUUUUAACACUUAAAAGAACUUAUGUUCGUGGCUGGCUCAACCAAAAUGUAUGAUAAACGCCACACUCUAUCUUCUGCUUCACCUCAUCAGCAUCCAUCCAUCUAUUGUGCUGGUGGAAAUGCAUCACCUGACCGCUCAUUUACCCCGAAAGGCAUGGCUCAAGCCCGAGUCAGACCCGGGCCCAGGUAAAAUUAAGCCUGAAUCAGUUGGGCCCAGUCGGGUUCGGGCAAAGAUUUCCAGCAAUACAGUCCAUGGGAUAAAGGAAGUGGGGAUCACAUCUCAUUGUUUGGGGGGAGAUGUUCGCUGACCCCUGUUUGACCCACUGUCUAAUAAUGAGUAGUACUUUACUAAUUUUGUUUCUAUUCUAUUCAGUUCAUUUGCUGAAGGAUGGGGAUGUCAUGGCCCCUGGACACCGGUAUCCAUAAAGCAUCCCCUGCAGAUAGAUGGGGAGUCAUGUGGCGUUCAUGUUGUUAUGUAUGCCCAGGCCAUAUUGACAGGGGAUGCUCUUCAGCAGAGCCGUGUUUUGGAUUUUGGACCCAUUAUGCAAUUAAGACAACAGAUGUGCAAGGAUCUCUUUAAUGCAACAGACAGAACACAGACAUGCAGUAACUGCCUGAACCCAGUGAGCACUGCAAACAAGGUUUGGGGAUCACCAAAGAAAUGGCAGAAAAAACAAAACAGACCCUCCACAAGAUGAAGGAAAAUGCCAACUCUACAUAUGAUGUUAAAGAGACCCUAUGCAACUUUCUGCAGGAGACGAUCGCUCUUUGUUUACAUCUGGAAGUCUGAGACGAAGAACCACGCUUGCAAUUUAUAUAUUUAAAUAUAGCCUAUACAUGUAUAAAUAUACACGCUAAAGCUGUCGGGGAAGCUCUGCAGAGAAAAUGCAAGCAUAAAACGAGCGAAAACGAACAACGAAACCAGAGAUGAAAUCGCCAGUCCUGC